ACCGGGUGCAGUGGCACGUACCUGUAGUCCCCAGCUACUCGGGAGGCUGAGGUGGGAGGAUCACUUGAGCCCAGGAGUUCUGGGCUGUAGUGUGCUAUGCUGAUCGGGUGUCCGCACUAAGUUUGGCAUCAAUAUGGUGACCUACUGGGAGCCGGGAACCACCUGGUUGCCUAAGGAGGGGUGAACCAGCCCAGGUUGGAAAUGGAGCAGGUCAAAACUCCUGUGCUGAUCAAUAGUAGGAUCGUGCUUGUGAAUAGCCACUGCACUCCAGCCUAGGCAACAUACUCU
rnacentral:SRP_RNA from 1 species